CAGACAAACUCCGAAUGCCAAUUAAUUUAACUUGGGAGUCAGAACAUGGGUGAUAAGGUCCGUGUUCGAAAGGGAAACAGCCCAGACCACCAGCUAAGGUCCCAAAAUAUAUGUUAAGUGGAAAAGGAUGUGGCGUUGCCCAGACAACUAGGAUGUUGGCUUAGAAGCAGCCAUCAUUUAAAGAGUGCGUAAUAGCUCACUAGUCGAGUGACACUGCGCCGAAAAUGUACCGGGGCUAAACAUAUUACCGAAGCUGUGGAUUGUCCUUUGGACAAUGGUAGGAGAGCGUUCUAAGGGCGUUGAAGCAUGAUCGUAAGGACAUGUGGAGCGCUUAGAAGUGAGAAUGCCGGUGUGAGUAGCGAAAGACGGGUGAGAAUCCCGUCCACCGAUUGACUAAGGUUUCCAGAGGAAGGCUCGUCCGCUCUGGGUUAGUCGGGUCCUAAGCUGAGGCCGACAGGCGUAGGCGAUGGAUAACAGGUUGAUAUUCCUGUACCACCUAUAAUCGUUUUAAUCGAUGGGGGGACGCAGUAGGAUAGGCGAAGCGUGCGAUUGGAUUGCACGUCUAAGCAGUAAGGCUGAGUAUUAGGCAAAUCCGGUACUCGUUAAGGCUGAGCUGUGAUGGGGAGAAGACAUUGUGUCUUCGAGUCGUUGAUUUCACACUGCCGAGAAAAGCCUCUAGAUAGAAAAUAGGUGCCCGUACCGCAAACCGACACAGGUAGUCAAGAUGAGAAUUCUAAGGUGAGCGAGCGAACUCUCGUUAAGGAACUCGGCAAAAUGACCCCGUAACUUCGGGAGAAGGGGUGCUCUUUAGGGUUAACGCCCAGAAGAGCCGCAGUGAAUAGGCCCAAGCGACUGUUUAUCAAAAACACAGGUCUCUGCUAAACCGUAAGGUGAUGUAUAGGGGCUGACGCCUGCCCGGUGCUGGAAGGUUAAGAGGAGUGGUUAGCUUCUGCGAAGCUACGAAUCGAAGCCCCAGUAAACGGCGGCCGUAACUAUAACGGUCCUAAGGUAGCGAAAUUCCUUGUCGGGUAAGUUCCGACCCGCACGAAAGGCGUAACGAUUUGGGCACUGUCUCAACGAGAGACUCGGUGAAAUCAUAGUACCUGUGAAGAUGCAGGUUACCCGCGACAGGACGGAAAGACCCCGUGGAGCUUUACUGUAGCCUGAUAUUGAAAUUCGGCACAGCUUGUACAGGAUAGGUAGGAGCCUUUGAAACGUGAGCGCUAGCUUACGUGGAGGCGCUGGUGGG
rnacentral:rRNA from 1 species